UGAGGAGAUGCCCAUGGGACAGGGGCAUUUAUUCAGGAGUUGAUCACCCUGGGAAGCAUCACCGAGGUCUUUAAGGAAGGAGCUUGCUUUGUGUGUAUCAGCUGUAGUGAUGAACACCAAAGUCAAUGGGACAGUGUCUAAUUUACUGCAGCGAGAAGUGGAGAUCUUGCCUCAGGGGUGAUAGACUAAUAGUGAUGAUAAGGCCAGCUUACAUCUUCCAUUGUAAAAAGGAAAAUUAAGUGAAAAGGAGCCAUUAUGCUCCUUGGGGAUGAUGAACAAACUCAGCUUUGCAUAGCACCAGGGUGAGAGAGCUGCAUGAGGGGAAAUAACAAGGAGUAGCCAUAGUAGAAGAGCCAGCUUGGUGGAGAUACCAGCUUGAAUGAUGGAAUCAAAAGAGGUAAGAACAGCUGGAUGAGAAACAACAGCUGAAGUCUGCAGCAUUUAAAUAACCACUGGCUGUGGUUGCAGUUUGAUGGCCUUGUUACAGCCUGCCACUUUCUCAAAUAACAUGGAGUGUGCUCCGUCAAGCAGGAGCCACCACGCACCUGCCCACCCCUCGCCCUCAUCAGGGGGACGGCCCAACGUAAACACACAGGUGAAGAGGUUGAGAUGAUGAAAGACAAUAGACCAUUACCAGGGACUUAAUGGUGUUGUAAAGGAGAUAAAUGUCUUUGAAGUAGCACCCUUAAAACACGUGACCUUCGGGCUGACCUUUCCUUUCAGAUUAUGGUAUGCAGAUUGUUUUAUAUCGGGCAGUGCAAACAGAGCAGGCAGAGCCAACAGCUCAGCCCCUGCGCUGGGGAAGUACUUGGACGUCGUAUCCAUCUAGAUAGAUCACUGUUUACUUGAUCUCACCAAAAGCAAAACUCUACCACAACUACUGCCUUUCAAGACACAUCUCUCACACUCCAAAUAAAACAAGUUUAUUAUUUCCAUUCAAAUGUCAUUAAUAAAGACAAAUUCUGAAGACCUAGAGCUAAGUCCAAAUCCUCCCUCCAGUCACCAGAGGCAUUCUCUGUGUUAGAGAAGCACUAUUAUGAAUGCAUAUCACCCAGUGGAUUUGUCUGGCGGAGCUGUACGUGCUGCACAGCAUGCUACUCACCAGCAAGGGGCUCAGAGAUGGACUGGAGGGAUCAUCAUCAAGAACAACGGAGAUGCUGGAGGCAUGAUGGACGAGAGCAUGAUCAAGGCCAUGUGAAGAUAAGCAGAGCUCAUCCAUUUCUCUUUUCCGAGAUGGGAGCAUGCUGAUGUGAAUUAACACUUUUUUCUACCUACUGUCCCAGCACUGAUUUAUGCUAUGUAGAGGGCAAGCUGUUCUAGGCACUGGCAGUCCUGUUCUGUGUUUGCAUGGUGCCUGGUGUAAUGAUGCCUCAACCCAUGACUGGAGCCAAACACAUAAUAAAUAAAGGCAAGAAGAAAGCCAAAAAUGUAGUUUGAAGGGGUGCAUGUUGCUCCUUUAUAUAUCACUUUGAGAAAAAACAGAAAAUUGGAGUUUUUCUGAAUCCAGACACAGGGAGCUAUCUCGAUCUGCAGGAGUAUACAAUUGCUGCUAAGCAAGCAAAGAGGAACAAAUACCAUCAAGUGAGGCCCCAAGCCCAUUUUAGCACCUCUGUAAAACAGCUUUAAUGAGAGAGAUCUGAAGGUCGAAGCCAGCCAAGCCCGAACCAGCACUGCACUGCAAGCAAUUGCCAAGGCCUAGAGGAACAGGGCUGCUCUGUGCCACCCACUCCAUGCGCAGCAGUGAGGCAUUGCUGGGGACAGUGCUGGACACAUUCUGACCUACCGCUGUGCCUCCUGCCCUGAUUGUUACCACACGUCUUGCAAGCAGCUCCCUGCACUUCCUCAAGCUAUGCGACAAGGCACGGUCAUCUGCACCUAUUUGCAGCCACAUGAAUGCAAAACUUGGGAACGCGCCCUGUGAGCAAGUGCCACUCGAGCCAAUGAGCUUCCUGAAAUAUUAUCCCACGUUUCUGUCCCACCUUCAUCGCUGGGGCUGUGGAUGAGUUGCAGCCCGCUUCAUUCAGCUGGCCAUGCUGGGCUCUGAGCUGCCCCGUAGCCCCAGGGCAGGUGUCUCUGUCUGAUUCUUUCUUUCAUUCAGCCAGUUUUGUUGUGUCCAGUGACUGCAGAAGAGCAUCAGCACCAAGGCAGUUCUGGUAACACCCUUUAGAAGGGCUCUGUGCUGUGUGAAGCAAAGGGAAGGUGCAGGGUAUGGUUGUGUAGGGAACUGCUUGGAAGGCGGCAUCAGCUCUGCUUCUCCCGUGGUUACGCCAUUGUCUAAAUGGCUACUUUUGGCUUCAGCAGGGGAUGGGACACUGAGUUGGAGGGAUCUGCACUUCAGCAAGCUUGCUGGCACCUCAGCGCUCACAGCGCUUAAGAAGUCUGAAUGGUGUGAGUCUCCAGUGGCUUGGGGUAGGGUUUUGGUUUGCUCUGUGCUGUAACUAGCUUCAGACUUCUGUCCACUGCAAAGGGAGCAGUAUUUGCCCAUCACGCAAAUUCCAUUAUCAGAUAGAACUUGUUGCUGUUUUUAACUUUCCCUGUAGCCAGAGAGCGUGCUGUGUGUGUGCUGUAGGUGGAAUUGGGGGGUGGGUGAUGGGGGUGGUGGGGGCACAGUCCACUCUUCCAGGAGGGCAUCUGGGCAGGGGACCUGCUCCUGCAGGACCAGAGACCAGCACUGGCAUGUUUUGACUCCGCGCCUUUGCGCGAGCAUUUGCUAUCCGCAGUGCUUUCUUAAUUUGGCUGUAUGGUAUUUAUCCCCUCCUUGGGAGAGACGGCUGGGACUGCAGGCAGCAUGAUUUAUGCCAGUUGUUCAAUUCGUGACAACUGCUGUCAACAGUUGUUCAUUUUAAUUACUGUUGGUGGGCCCAGAUGUCUCAAAGAUGAGCUCAGUGCCACAUAAAUACAAUAAAUACAGAUAAUAUUAGCAACCCCACUUCCUUUCGAGGGGAGGAGUGCAGGACCACCGAUUACCCAUUCUUCUGUGUUCCCUCACUGCCUGCCCACCUUCAGAGCAGCACUUGAGUGAAGGGCAGGAAAGGCGGUGGAUGGGCUCUCCCUUUCUCUUCUCUGGUACACUGUAUGUCAUCUCUGUUUCCUCACUAAAAUCACAGUUUGGCUUAUCCAUAGUGUAGAUAUGUAUCAGUUUGCCUGGACCAUUCUCCUCCAGGCCUGCAGUGCACGUGGGACACAUUGUACAGGCAGUGGAGUUCUCUGCCCAUUUCUAUUCUCCCCAGUGUUUCCCAAUUUCAUUGCACCAAAAGGCAAAGUGCAAUCCUAAAAACCACUCAGCAGAAGCGUAUCUCCAAGGACUUCUUUCCAUAGCUGGAUGUACAACCUGCUACAAGGAGAGGUCAUUUCACAACAGCUUGAGCAUAAGCCCUGACCCCAGCUGCAGCAGCAUCCCAUGGGCUCAGAGAAGUGCCUGUGUCCAUAGAAGUAAUCCUGCGAUUCUAGAAGUGGCCUCUAAGGUGAUCAUCAGGGACCCUUUCAAGAAAUGUGGAGAUUUAGUGCUGAUGGACGUGGUUAGUGGGCAUGGUCGACAGUUGGACUAGAUGACCUGAAGAGGUCUUUUCCAGUCUCAGUGGUUCUAUGAUUCUGUGAUACUGUGAGGUUCUGCCUACCUCCUCUGGAAACAGAACACUACACAGUGGAUUUUGGCAAGAGUCAAACACUGAUCACAGCCACUGUAGAGCAGCAAAGAGAACCCAAGUUGUGCCGCCUCGUUGUCCUUGUCAGAUGCCGCAUCACCUUAUGGGACAGACCAUGGGGUUGGGGACUUUGGUAAAACUCAGGAGGGAAGAAUACAGCCCUGCUUCACAUCCCAGCUGGGAAACGGCUCAUCCCCUCUCCAGGGUGGUAGAUGUUAUUUACCAAAAUCUACAUAAAAAUGUAUUGAAAGCCACAAUUGGGAUUCCAAUGCCUGGGCACAAUUAAUAAGCAAUAGGGGUAAUUUAAUGACUUUAUUCUAAUUAUCGGGUCACAAUAGGAAUCUCAUAAAAAGUAUUAAGCCAUGUGGGUAAUAUUAAAGCCUCAGCAACCUACCAACAAGGUUGUUUACCUUGCAAAGUGCUGGAGGGUCCUGUUUGUUCCUUGGUGCAUUCUUCAUUUCCUACCACGGACUGAUGCUAAUGAAUUUUCCGGUGCCACUGCAGAAGGCACUUCAAAUGUCUCCUGCCCCUGCCUCUUCCCUCCCCUCUUCCCCUGCAUGAUGCCUGCUGUCCUUCACCCUGGGCCUGCAGGCACUUUGGGAUGGGGAUGCUGUGCCCUGUCUGUCCCCAUGUGCGACAGCAGGCCCCUAUGCCUCUUUCCCCAUGACCCCCAGCAAAAGGCAGGCUCAGAUGCCAUGGGCACACACGUUCAGCGGCUAAAACCUGGAAUGUGAUACCACAAGGUCCGAGACCAGCUGGAGGCAAGAGGACAGAGCCGGGUGCGCCUUACAGCACUGGUAAUCACACUGGACACAUACGGUUAUAUUUAAGUGCUGGGUGUCUGCUGGCUGCGGAGGCUGAGGCAAGACUGGACUUGAUUAGACAUAAUGACAAAAAUGGACCAACUGUUGCUGAGAAAGCCUCUGCAGCAAAGUAUUACCUCUUUGUUAUUGAGAUAUGACUGUCUGAGGCUUCGCUGCUUUCAACUCCCCAUCAUUAUCUUUACAGACUUCCACUGCAUUUUAAAUAGGUUCCCAAGUUCAACUUUUUGCCCUGGGCCAUAAAUUUAAUGUACUAAAUAUUUUCAUCUGCUGUAGAACACACCAUGUUUUGAAACUUGUUACUUUAUGGAAAAAUAAUGUGGGUUGAAAACAGGACACAGAUUGACAAACCUUUUGUUUUUUAAGUAUAGCCUUGUUCACCCUAAAAAUGUCAAAAAACAGCAUUUUUGUUAUCCACUGUCUGAGUUAAUGUAUAUUUUUGUAUCUUUAGCUAUACAGUGUAUACUGCUUUUUUUCAUAAAUAAACCUAAUGGAGAAAAAAAUUCAGAUAUAUUUAAAUCAGAAUUAAAAUAUAGAUUUUCUUAUUCUCCAUUAAAAUCUACGGUAAAUGUAGCUGCUCUUCAGGAUCCAUUUAAUGAAAUGUUUUUGUAUCUGAUUACAUUUAUGUGCAUGUAUUUAUACACAAAUAAUACAUUAACAACGUCUUUUGCCGUGAUUAAAUGUAUCCGAUUUCUGUCACUGAGAUGCUGGAGUUAUUUCUUUACUGAAUGGUACUGGAUAAACACAGAUUUAUGUGCAAAGUUUUAUAUAGAACUAAAUAAUCCUGUGUUCUACAAAUCACUAUAAUGUAUAAUUUAGUUCUUUGAUCAAAUUAAUGGAGGUUUUACUUAAUUUAGAGUGUCUCUGAGAGUCUUGCCUUUACUGGUGUGUAGUAGCUUUUAAUCUUUAUGCAUUAACUAAAAACCCACUGAGGACUCUGUACCUCCAUAGCUGAGCUUCCUGAGAUUUAUGGAGGCAGAGGUAGAGCAGGCAAGAAGGAACACGCCUGUACCUAAUGGCCAGGGGACUUCACCCAGGGAUUUUACAUGAAACAGCAACUGGAUAAAAAACAGCGGUGGAAGCACAGAAUCACAGAAUAUCUUGGCUUUGAAGAUACCUCUGGAGGUCAUCUAGUCCAACCCCCGCUCAAAGCAGGGCCAACUUCAAAGUGAAAUCCAACCUCAAGUUAGAUCAGGUAGUGCAGGGUCAUGGCCACAGAGGUAUGGUGUCUCCUGGGAUGGAGGUGCUCUGAGGUGCAGACGCCAGGACGGUGCUGCCCAUCCGAGCACCCCUCUAACUCCUGCCUUGUGCUCUCUUUCCUGCUAGCUCUGUGAUUCCUGCAAAUCUGGCUGUGCAGUGCUGCCGUUUCCACAAGGACCUACAGGCCAGAGAGAGAUGAGGGUACUUGUUUGAAAUGUGGGAAUGUGGUUUAAAAUCCCCUCAGGCAGAGGAAGCCUCAAACCCUUCCUUGAAUGGUGGUCCAUCUGCUGUGGCCAGAAAUGUCGCCGACCACAGGCGUUCUUGUAUUAUUGAUUCAAGUCCUGUGUCUGGUGCUGAAACCAUAUGGAUGCCGCUGCAUCCCCUUCCGGUAGCUGUACCCCCUCCAGGGAGUGCCCCAGCCCCGUCCCCAGCCCCAGCCCUGCAUGGGGGCCCUGACAGCCAGUGCUGCUUCUCCUCGUGGCUUUUUCAGGGCAGAACACAUCCUUACAGCCCUCCCCUCACUGGGCAGCCCCGUAAGGUGGCCAAGGAUCCUCCAUCCCUCCUCUUGUGGCUGUCAGUGGAACCUGCUGAACCUCACAUCAAGCCCUUGCAAAAGUCAUUGUCCUUUGAAGUGUUACAGUGCUGUAAAGCAUUAUUUAACCACAAGCUCUCAAAAAGACUAGUGCUUUAUAUCACCCUUAAUUUUACAUCUUGCUUUGCAUAAUUCACUACUUGGUUUAGAGACCUAGAGUUUUAAAAAAAUUACAGAAAUACCUUCCAAAGUACCCACUGAAAGAUGUAUCUGUUGUAAUGGAACUCUUAAAACACCUAUUAGCACCCUUCACUUGUCACUUGGAAUCUCAGGGUCACACUUUUGGUAUGAGCACUGUUUAGAAACUGGUGAGAUUACUGCUUAUUCAUUUAAAACAAAAAAAGGAAUUUGAGGACAGUCACUAGAGAAAACAAGUUCACUAAGAGUCUUGCAGAAAAUGAAAUAUUUCUCACUGACAAGCUUGAGCAUCCAAUAAUCCUGGGCGUUACCCAAGUCUCUGACCCUGAUAGCAGUGUUUGCCGGAUUCACCUGCUGUCUGCAGAUGCUGCAACAGCCAAGGUUGGAGCAAUCACCCAAGUCUUUUUACCCUACGCUUUGUCCACAAGGAAAUAACUGCCCCUGCAAUGACUUGUAUAUGGGCAGCUGAUGCAAAGUUUCACGUGUUCUAUAGUUUGAGCUAUAAACCCCUACCUCUGCAGGCUGCAAAAGUCAAGUCUUGGCUUAGCCACCUUGGCAUGUUCUGUACAGACAGCAUUCUAUUACAGCUCAGAUUUUGUCCCUUGGUGGAGCUCUGCAAAGGCAUAUCUGCCUUUAUCCUCCUGCACAGUCACCUUCAUUAGCAUCAUUUGGUAAUGGUGGUGGAGAGCAAGACUCUGGGUAGGGAGGGCCAAAAUAGCUGGUUCCCACAGCUGAUCCCAAGGUCAGCAAGCAUGACCAAAAAUGGCAGUGUAUUCCCUCUGAGGAUAAGAUCCCACAGAGGAAGUGCUGGAUAGGUUUUGUAGGCCAUCGGUACUACCAUAGAAGUACACUCUGUAUUAUGUGUUAUAUAGUUAUAAUUUGGUGUGGUCUUUAUAAGUAAAUAUACAUAGGUUGCACUGACUGCACCGCCUCCUUCCAUGGAAACUACAACAGAUAUAAAGAGCACAAUAACUGUUUGAUCGAGCAAAUUCUCAGCUACAAAACACUAUUUUUCAACAUAGUCACCACCAUUCGCUCUACAUUUUCACCAGUUAAUUAGUUCUGCAUUUUCACCAGUGAUGAACAAGAGCUUGCAUGCCGUGCUUGUAAAAAUCUGCAUCAGCGGAGGUGACACACUGUUUCAGAGCUGCUAUGACAACAUUGUUCCUAGGAAAAUGUUGCCCAUGCAGUCCAUUUUUCAUUGGCCCAAAUAGAUGGAAGUCAGAAGGCUUCCAAACUAUAUGGCAAAUGUGGUAGGAUUGUCCAAGAUUGGCAAAGUGCUCCACGUUCUUCAAACUGUUAUGGGGCCUGACAUUGUGUUGCAGGAGAAAAGUUGCCUUCUAGAAGUUCAAGCCUUCAGUUUAGUCAGCAUUGUGAUGUAACAGUUGAAGUUGAUGGUUUGUCUGGGCUCCAGGAAAUCCAGAAGGAUCACCCCUUUCCUAUCCCACAAGACGGUGCACAUCACUUUACCUGUGGAGAGCUGCAUCUUGGACUUUUUCUUCAAUGGAGAAUUCACAUGUCACCACUCUAUGGACUGCUGUUGUCACUCUGGCUUGUAGUGGUGACACCACAUCUCACCACUGGUAUUUGGCACAUACUUGGCACUUACAGCACCAUCUGCCAAAAUCUAGGAGAGCUCUCACAGCACAGAUAUGAAAUGAAGCAUUUUGCUGGGUUUCUUGGAGGUUUGUUUCCUGCUCCCUGGGGACAGCGUGUCUCUGCGCUAACGUACAUUUCUUCAGGAUCAUAGAAUCAUUAAGAUUGGAAGAUUGGGAAGGACCUCUGAGAUCAAGUCCAACAGUCAAGCCAUCACCGCCAGGUCUCUCUCCUUCCACUCACAGCUGGCCCCUGCCUCCCCAUCUUGUCUGCAGGCAGAAAACAGAGGUUCACCCACUGAAUAUCAAUCAGUGAAACCCCUGUCCAACAUCCCCCUCGCCGUCCUGCCGCCCCGUGUUUGUUACCUGCUUCACUCCCUACUGGCUCUUAAAUACAGGGUUUGCAGAGCUGCUGUGAUCAUAGCUUGGAGGAAAAGCAAUUGUUCUGAGAUUUUUUUGCUGAAAUAUACUUGGUGGUGUGGCUGCUUCUGAGGAAUGGGUGCAGAAGAGUCCUUGAUUGGCUGCUUUGUGAGUCUGAGAGAAGGAAUAUCUCAAGGGGACAGCAGAAACCAGGUGCCACAAGAAUACUCCAGGACACUAUCAGAACAACUGUGAGGAAUGCUGGUAGGAAACGCAGAACAGAGAUACCAAGAACACAAUUCUCUGGUGCAAGCAAAAUGAAUCUUGUUGCGGAAGCACUGAUCAAAAUUUACAAAGUAAUGCAACAUGAGGCACUUAACUAAUGAAGCAAAUUCACUGUCAUACAACUAGGAGGGGGCAGAAGUGAUGCUUUUCAAGGAUUUUGAAAGCUGGAAAUAGUCUCUCCCCUCCCCGUGUGCUGGAAGAGCUGUGCCUCAACUCAAAGCUCAUAUGUGGGCUCAGCAAUCAAAUCCCAUCUUGUCUGCACACUUUGCUCUUAAACAAAUGGACUAGCUUGUUCACGAUGGAAGCAACUUCCAGCUCACUGCAUUCAGGAUCGAUGAGGAUAAAGUGCUCCAGCCUAAUUGCACCUUCCUCUUGCCUUGCCAUAUGGGACUGCUGCUCAGAGCACAGCCAGUCAAGACAGAGUCCAAGC